AGGUAGGCAAUACCACCAGAACCCUACGGAGCCGCUGCCAAGAGGUCCUAACAUUGUGAGUAGGAUGUCUGCAGCAGACAAGAGGUUCUGGGCUCUCUGGGGGUCUCUUCGGCAAAUCUCGGAGCCUCUAAACUCUCUCGGAGCCUAGGACUCCCAACAGCCCCAGGUCGGACUACAGAUGGUGGCGCCCCUUGCUCACUUGGUGGAUUUUUGCCAAGCAGGGCGGGAAAGAUGGAUACAUUUUAACAAAGACAUGGCAUCUUCCCAGCAAAAUGGCGGUGGUCGGGACCACGGCUCCCUGGUGGACUGCAAACCUCCUACACCUAAGUCACGACCAGGGAAAGGAGAACUCUCUCCUCGGCUUCUCCCGCUGCGCCCCAUUUUUCCAAGUCUCUAAAAGCACAAGGAGCCUCUGCGCAUCCUAAGGGUCCCCAGGAUGUCUGAUCAGAGCCAUUGGACAGCACCUAUGAUAGAGACUGCACACACAUCAAGCCACACCCCACCUUGAAGAGGCCAGUGGGAGAGGGGACCUUCACCCCUAGGGUGGGCCUGGGGGGUGGUGGUCCUGCUUCUUACAUCCCCAAAACUCCCUAGCUAACAAGGCAGGCAUGUAAAUGAACUCAUACUCAGAUA
rnacentral:lncRNA from 1 species